UACGUAGGGUGCAAGCGUUAAUCGGAAUUACUGGGCGUAAAGCGUGCGCAGGCGGUUUUGUAAGUCUGUCGUGAAAUCCCCGGGCUCAACCUGGGAAUUGCGAUGGAGACUGCAAGGCUAGAAUCUGGCAGAGGGGGGUAGAAUUCCACGUGUAGCAGUGAAAUGCGUAGAGAUGUGGAGGAACACCGAUGGCGAAGGCAGCCCCCUGGGUCAAGAUUGACGCUCAUGCACGAAAGCGUGAGGAGCAAACAGG
rnacentral:rRNA from 1 species